GCAACGAGCGCAACCCCUACUUCUCAGUUGCCAGCACAUAAUGGUGGGCGACUCUGUGGAGACUGCCCGGGUUAACCGGGACGGGAAAGGUGGGGGAGUGACGUCAAGUCAUCAUGGCCCUUACGCCUAGGGCUACACACGUACUACAAUGGUGGGUACAAAGGGCAGCGAAACCGCGAGGUCGAGCGAAUCUCAAAAAACCCAUCAUAGUCCGGAUUGCAGUCUGCAACUCGACUGCAUGAAGUUGGAAUCGCUAGUAAUCCCGGAUCAGCAUGCCGGGGUGAAUACGUUCCCGGGCCUU
rnacentral:rRNA from 1 species